GGCGGGUGCUAUACAUGCAAGUCGAGCGAACAGACGAGGAGCUUGCUCCUCUGACGUUAGCGGCGGACGGGUGAGUAACACGUGGAUAACCUACCUAUAAGACUGGGAUAACUUCGGGAAACCGGAGCUAAUACCGGAUAAUAUAUUGAACCGCAUGGUUCAAUAGUGAAAGACGGUUUUGCUUGUCACUUAUAGAUGGAUCCGCGCCGCAUUAGCUAGUUGGUAAGGUAACGGCUUACCAAGGCAACGAUGCGUAGCCGACCUGAGAGGGUGAUCGGCCACACUGGAACUGAGACACGGUCCAGACUCCUACGGGAGGCAGCAGUAGGGAAUCUUCCGCAAUGGGCGAAAGCCUGACGGAGCAACGCCGCGUGAGUGAUGAAGGUCUUCGGAUCGUAAAACUCUGUUAUUAGGGAAGAACAAAUGUGUAAGUAACUAUGCACGUCUUGACGGUACCUAAUCAGAAAGCCACGGCUAACUACGUGCCAGCAGCCGCGGUAAUACGUAGGUGGCAAGCGUUAUCCGGAAUUAUUGGGCGUAAAGCGCGCGUAGGCGGUUUUUUAAGUCUGAUGUGAAAGCCCACGGUCAACCGUGGCAGGGUCAUUGGAAACUGGAAAACUUGAGUGCAGAAGAGGAAAGUGGAAUUCCAUGUGUAGCGGUGAAAUGCGCAGAGAUAUGGAGGAACACCAGUGGCGAAGCGACUUUCUGGUCUGUAACUGACGCUGAUGUGCGAAAGCGUGGGGAUCAAACAGGAUUAGAUACCCUGGUAGUCCACGCCGUAAACGAUGAGUGCUAAGUGUUAGGGGGUUUCCGCCCCUUAGUGCUGCAGCUAACGCAUUAAGCACUCCGCCUGGGGAGUACGACCGCAAGGUUGAAACUCAAAGGAAUUGACGGGGACCCGCACAAGCGGUGGAGCAUGUGGUUUAAUUCGAAGCAACGCGAAGAACCUUACCAAAUCUUGACAUCCUCUGACCCCUCUAGAGAUAGAGUUUUCCCCUUCGGGGGACAGAGUGACAGGUGGUGCAUGGUUGUCGUCAGCUCGUGUCGUGAGAUGUUGGGUUAAGUCCCGCAACGAGCGCAACCCUUAAGCUUAGUUGCCAUCAUUAAGUUGGGCACUCUAAGUUGACUGCCGGUGACAAACCGGAGGAAGGUGGGGAUGACGUCAAAUCAUCAUGCCCCUUAUGAUUUGGGCUACACACGUGCUACAAUGGACAAUACAAAGGGUAGCGAAACCGCGAGGUCAAGCAAAUCCCAUAAAGUUGUUCUCAGUUCGGAUUGUAGUCUGCAACUCGACAUAUGAAGCUGGAUCGCUAGUAUCGUAGAUCNCAUGUACCGUGAACGU
rnacentral:rRNA from 1 species